rnacentral:rRNA from 1 species
CAGCCGCCGCGGGAAUACGUAGGUGGCAAGCGUUGUCCGGAAUUAUUGGGCGUAAAGGGCUCGCAGGCGGUUUCUUAAGUCUGAUGUGAGAGCCCCCGGCUCAACCGGGGAGGGUCAUUGGAAACUGGGAAACUUGAGUGCAGAAGAGGAGAGCGGAAUUCCACGCGUAGCGGUGAAAUGCGUAGAGAUGUGGAGGGACACCAGUGGCGAAGGCGACUCUCUGGUCUGUAACUGACGCUGAGGAGCGAAAGCGUGGGGAGCGAACAGGAUUAGAUACCCCCGUAGUCCCUGUCUCUUAUAC